GAUUUUAAGUUAAUUAAAACUACCAACCUUCAAAGUUGGAUAUAGAUAAUAUUAUCUAAA
rnacentral:tRNA from 1 species